CGAACCAUCUAGUAGCUGGUUCCCUCCGAAGUUUCCCUCAGGAUAGCUGGAACAAUUAUGCAGUUUUAUCAGGUAAAGCGAAUGAUUAGAGGUCUCAGGACUAUUAUGGUCUUGUCCUAUUCUCAAACUUUAAAUUGGUAAGAACUCUUUGUUCUCUUAACUGAACAUUGAGACAGAAUGCGUGUUCCUAGUGGGCCAUUUUUGGUAAGCAGAACUGGCGAUGAGGGAUGAACCUAACGUUGAGUUAAGGUGCCCAACUAUACGCUCAUGAGAUACCACAAAAGGUGUUGAUUCAUCUAAACAGCAGGACGGUGGACAUAAAAGUCGUCAUCCGCUAAGGAGUGUGUUACAACUCACCUGCCGAAUGAAUUAGCCCUGAAAAUGGAUGGCGCUAAAGCGUAUGACCGAUACUCAACCAUCAAUACAAAAGAAAGUAGUGAUGAGUAGGAGGGCGUGGGUGUUGUAAGAAGAUAUGGCGUGAGCCUGAUUGGAACGACAUCUAGUGCAG
rnacentral:rRNA from 1 species